CAUAUAAAUACAGGUUAUUGGGAACCCUAAAGACACACCAUAAAGUUUACGGCCCCCUAACUACAAUCUGUUAUCAUCACUCUCCAUCCUAACUGCUCACCCUAAACGGGAACCGAUCAAGAUGGCUUCUUCUUCAUCUCUAACCGCUACUGGAUUGUCAGGUUUUGAUUUUCUUAGUGAAGAUUUGAGAUCGAAAUUUAAGAACAUAAAUCGAGCCGAAUUCAUAUUGGGUUUUUGGUUUGUUUUGACAAUUUUGAAUUUGGUUCGGCUCAGUUUCAUCGUAAGAAAAGCUCCAAUCAAAGGAAAGUAAAGUGAGAAAGUUGAAAACCAGACUGAUGAACAUCCACAAGAAUAUUCUUAAUUCAUCUAUUGAUGUUUCGCUAAGGUAUUACCGAGAUGAUUCCAAGCUAAUGCAAUAAAAACUAUUUCAUUCUUGUGGCCUAACUUGGUUAAUGGAGGUAUAGUCGUAUAGACUAUAUGCACACCAGCUACAUUACGAAUUAACCAUGUAUUUAUGUGAUGUAAAACAAUCAUAUAAGGGUUAUGAUUUUC